rnacentral:piRNA from 1 species
UGCAGCCCUGUGUCGCCUGUCUACA